AUAAAGUUUUAUUUUGUCUUGAAGAUUUGUUAUUAGUUUAAUUUAUAUGUAAAUUUUUGUAAGAAUUUUUAUUUAUUUUAAUAAUAAAUAUUUUAUUAUUAUUCGCAGUAAUUAAUAUUAUUAAUUAAAGAAAUUUAGAAAUAGUAAUAUUAAAGAGUAUUGACUAAAUUUGUGCCAGCAGUCGCGGUUAUACGAAUAAUACAAAUAAUUUUUUUUAGUAAAAGUUAAAUUGAUUUAUAUAAAAUAAAAUUAAAUUUAUUAGGUGAAAUUUUAAAUUUAAAUAUUAUACAAAUAAAAUAAUUGAGGCUUAAAAAUUUUAUUAAUAAACUAGGAUUAGAUACCCUAUUAUUUAAAAUGUAAUUAAAAAUUCUGAGGUAGUAGUAGUUAUGUUCUUGAAACUUAAAAAAUUUGGCGGUAUUUUAGUCUAUUCAGAGGAACCUGUUCUGUAAUCGAUAAUCCGCGAUGGACCUUACUUAAAUUUGUUUUCAGUUUAUAUACCGUCGUUAUUAGAAUAUUUUAUAAGAAAGUUAAUUUUCCUAAUUAUUUAAUAAAUAAUAUAUCAGAUCAAGGUGUAGCUAAUAUUUAAGUAGAAAUGGGUUACAAUAAAUUUAUUUAAAUGAAUAUAAAUAUGAAAAGUUUAUUGAAAGUGGAUUUGAUAGUAAAAUUGUAAAGAUUAAUAAUUUGAUUUUAGCUCUAAAAUAUGUACACAUCGCCCGUCACUCUUAUUAUUAAAAUAAGAUAAGUCGUAACAUAGUAGAUGUACCGGAAGGUGUAUCUAGAAUGCA
rnacentral:ncRNA from 1 species